GUAAGUUGAGCUUUAUGUUAGCCGACAAUAUAGUAGAAAAUUAUACCUCGCCAAGUUAGCGCUUGGCUACACAUCUACUUUUGUUCCUUGCGUCUAGCUUGUUUAACAGUUUGUCACAUCCGAAUUAUACGAUGUUGUUUGAAAAUUCUUUGUUUCCUAUGUAUCUACUAAAGCGUUUUUAAUUCAAUGUUACAGGAAGCUGUAAGGCGCCUCCAUAAUUCGGAAAAGAGCCCGCAUAAAUAUGAUCCACAAACUGGAAUAAGUUCACCUCAUAACCAGGCAGUAAUGACAUAUCUGCUGGAGGAACUGAAGACGACUUUUGCAAAUGCAGACCCUGAGUGUAUAAAGGUUGCUGGAGUCCAGGUCUAGAGUCAUCCAAACAGAUGCAGAGAGAGAACUGUGGCAGACUGCAAUUCUGGACCUGAUGUCCGAUCAAGAGGAUGCCAUCGUUGAUGAAACACCGCUGUGGGUUGUGAGGUCUCCACCUCACAGGA